ACAGUCUGACGAUGCAACAAGGCUGAUGAAGGGAUUUGAGCACAAGUCCUGUGAGGAGAGGCUGAGGUAGCUGGGGUUGUUUAGUCUGGAGAAGAGAAGGCUCAGGGG